rnacentral:rRNA from 1 species
AUUGAACGCUGGCGGCAGGCCUAACACAUGCAAGUCGAACGAGUGGCGGACGGGUGAGUAAUUUCUGGGAAACUGCCCGAUGGAGGGGGAUAACUACUGGAAACGGUAGCUAAUACCGCAUCCCAUCGGAUAUGCCCAGAUGGGAUUAGCUAGUCGGUGGGUUAAGGCCUCACCUAGGCGACGAUCCCUAGCUGGUCUGAGAGGAUGACCUGCAACACUGGAACUGAGACACGGUCCAGACUCCUACGGGAGGCAGCAGUGGGGAAUAUUGCACAAUGGGCGAAAGCCUGAUGCAGCCAUGCCGCGGGUGUGAAGAAGGCCUUCGGGUUGUAAAGUACUUUCAGCGAGGAGGCGUUACUCGCAGAAGAAGCACCGGCUAACUCCGUGCCAGCAGCCGCGGUAAUAC